rnacentral:misc_RNA from 1 species
UAAGGGAGCAUGGGACGUGAAUUGUCACUUUGCAUGGGGUUCAUUAAAUUUGGACGUGGAAUGCAUGUGUGAAGAACGUGGAAUUGCAUGGGACAUGCAAGGAAGCUUCACGUGAUAAUUGUUAAUUUGCAUGAGAAGUGGACGUGAGGGUUUGUGCAUGUGAAUGGGGCGCACUAAGUGAAGCACAAUGGUGAUCACAUGGGCCAUUAGUGGAGAGGUGGAGCCUUGUGAGUGGAGAUUGUGUGUGAGUGGAAGAUCACA